AUGAAAACAUUAUGCUGGAACUGUCGCGGGAUUGGCGAUCCUACGACGGUUCAAGAACUCCGCGAUCUCGUGGAGAAAAGUGCGCCGUCAAUUCUUUGUCUAGUUGAAACUCAACUGUCGAAGAACCGAGUUGAAGGUCUUCGUUUUUCGUUAGGUUUUGAUUUCAGUUUUGGUGUGAGUAGCUCUGGCCGCAGCGGCGGUAUUUGUAUCUUUUGGAAAAACUCUCUGGAUAUUUCAAUAAAGAAUUUUUCGCAGUAUCAUGUGGAUGCAUGGGUCAAGGAGCCGCAGAAGGAUCAUUGUCGUUUGUCGUGUUUUUAUGGUGAAGCAAACAGAAGCCUGCGGUAA
rnacentral:rRNA from 1 species